rnacentral:rRNA from 1 species
UAAAUUGAGAGUUUGAUCCUGGCUCAGGAUGAACGCUGGCGGCGUGCUUAACACAUGCAAGUCGAGCGAUGAAGUUUCCUUCGGGAAACGGAUUAGCGGCGGACGGGUGAGUAACACGUGGGUAACCUG